UACGUAGGGGGCGAGCGUUGUCCGGAUUCAUUGGGCGUAAAGAGCUCGUAGGCGGCUUGGCAAGUCGGAUGUGAAAACUCCAGGCUCAACCUGGAGCCGCCAUUCGAUACUGCUAUGGCUAGAGUCCGGUAGGGGAGUGUGGAAUUCCCGGUGUAGCGGUGAAAUGCGCAGAUAUCGGGAGGAACACCGAUGGCGAAGGCAGCACUCUGGGCCGGUACUGACGCUGAGACGCGAAAGCAUGGGGAGCAAACAGG
rnacentral:rRNA from 1 species